rnacentral:rRNA from 1 species
AAUGAACGUUGGCGGCGUGGAUUAGGCAUGCAAGUCGAGCGAGAAGUGUAGCAAUACACGGAAAGCGGCGAAAGGGAUAGUAACACGUAGGUACCUACCCCCGGGCCUGGGAUAGCGGCGGGAAACUGCCAUUAAUACCAGAUAACGUCUCCGGACCCAAGGUGUGAUUCCGUCUGGGGAGGGGCCUGCGUCCUAUCAGCUAGUUGGUGAGGUAAUGGCCCACCAAGGCAUUGACGGGUAGCGGGUGUGAGAGCACGACCCGCAUCACUGGGACUGAGACACUGCCCAGACACCUACGGGUGGCUGCAGUCGAGAAUCUUCCGCAAUGGGCGCAAGCCUGACGGAGCGACGCCGCGUGCGGGAUGAAGGCCUUCGGGUUGUAAACCGCUGUCAGUGGGGAGGAAAUGCAUGGGGGUUCUCCCCCAUGUUUGACCGAUCCGCAGAGGAAGCACAGGCUAAGUUCGUGCCAGCAGCCGCAGUAAAAC